CUGCCCGGUAUCUAAAUGCGGAAGAGAUAAGUGCUGAAAGCAUCUAAGCACGAAACUUGCCCCGAGAUGAGUUCUCCCUGAGACUUUAAGUCUCCUGAAGGAACGUUGAAGACGACGACGUUGAUAGGCCGGGUGUGUAAGCGCAGCGAUGCGUUGAGCUAACCGGUACUAAUGAACCGUGAGGCUUAACCUUACAACGCCGAAG
rnacentral:rRNA from 1 species